AUAGAGAGAAAGAAAAGACAGUUUAAAGUAAUGUCAAUAAACUUAAUUUGAAAAAUUAUGCUCAACUUUCUCUUAGGUCUAAAUAUAAUGAUAAACAAGAAACAUUUUUUAUAAUAUCAUUGUAUAUCAGAAUCUAUUCAAAUGCCAAGUAUUUGGUAUGUAAGUACUAAAGUAAAAAUUUUCAAUUCUACUUUAAAGCAUGGAUAAAAUGAGAAUAAAGCAAGCUCUCUU